UACGGAGGGUGCAAGCGUUGUUCGGAAUUAUUGGGCGUAAAGCGCACAUAGGCGGCUUUGUAAGUCAGGGGUGAAAGCCUGGAGGUCAACUCCAGAACUGCCUUUGAGACUGCAUCGCUUGAAUCCGGGAGAGGUGAGUGGAAUUCCGAGUGUAGAGGUGAAAUCCGUAGAUAUUCGAAGGAACACCGGUGGCGAAGGCGGCUACCUGGACCGAUACUGACGCUGAGACGCGAAAGCGUGGGGAGCAAACAGG
rnacentral:rRNA from 1 species